rnacentral:rRNA from 1 species
GACGCUGGCGGCAGGCUUACACAUGCAAGUCGAGCGAAGACUUCGGUCUUAGCGGCAGACGGGUGAGUAACGCGUGGGAAUCUACCCAUCCCUACGGAAUCGCUCCGGGAAACUGGAAUUAAUACCGUAUACGCCCUUCGGGGGAAAGAUUUAUCGGGGAUGGAUGAGCCCGCGUUGGAUUAGCUAGUUGGUGGGGUAAAAGCCUACCAAGGCGACGAUCCAUAGCCUGGUCUGAGAGGAUGAUCAGCCACAUUGGGACUGAGACACGGCCCAUACUCCUACGGNGAGGCAGCCANUGGGGAAUA